GACGAACGCUGGCGGCGUGCUUAACACAUGCAAGUCGAACGGAAAGGCUCCAGCUUGCUGGAGUACUCGAGUGGCGAACGGGUGAGUAACACGUGGGUAAUCUGCCCUGCACUCUGGGAUAAGCCAGGGAAACUGGGUCUAAUACUGGAUAUGACCUUUCUCCUUAUGGGGUUUGGUGGAAAGUUUUUCGGUGUAGGAUGAGCCCGCGGCCUAUCAGCUUGUUGGUGGGGUGAUGGCCUACCAAGGCGACGACGGGUAGCCGGCCUGAGAGGGUGAUCGGCCACAUUGGGACUGAGAUACGGCCCAGACUCCUACGGGAGGCAGCAGUGGGGAAUAUUGCACAAUGGGCGGAAGCCUGAUGCAGCGACGCCGCGUGAGGGAUGACGGCCUUCGGGUUGUAAACCUCUUUCAGCAGGGACGAAGCGUAAGUGACGGUACCUGCAGAAGAAGCACCGGCUAACUAUGUG
rnacentral:rRNA from 1 species